AACACUUUUUUUAUAUAUAAUAUAAAAAGCUCGAAUUUGAUUGUCUUCAGAAAGUAAAAGCUCAACGCCCUUUUUUAUCAGUCUGUCUGGAAACAAAGCAGAGUUUACCAACGCAAUACAGCAUGCUCUGCUGAAGAGGAAUUUUUUUUUUUUUUGAAGAUUCAAGUUUGCAAGAUCAGGAGCGAAUUGAUGUUAUCUACACUCAGAUGACUUCAAUUUUGGAUGGCACACCUACACACACCCACAGUGACCAGAUCAGAUUCAUUAUGGAUGUCCCUUUUCCAGAGUCCAUCAUCUGUGCUCUUGCUGUUGUGAAAGAUGUGUCCAUCUUGGAGGCUGAGGAGAAAUUCCUUCAAGGACCUGUCAUUGACGCAAGUGAGUGGGAUCACUUUGACCGCAGGAUAAAGAAACAAUUAAAACAGAGUGGCAAACCAUUGGAGAGUCAUCUACAGGAGUCAUGCUGUUAAGAAAUAACCAAGUCAUGGUGUUAAUAAAAAUUUUUUGUGAACAACAAUAUUGUCUUUCUUUUAAAUGACCCUUGGAACUUUAGAAAAUUGUUAAAUUUUGUUGGUCUUCAUAAAAUGCUAUGUAGAACAUGUUCUGUUGCUGUAUAACGAGCAAUUGUGAAUUGUAAAGCAAAUAUUUCAUUUAGGAUCCAUAUGAUUACACAGUACUGUAUGUCUAAUGGCCUGAAUAUGGUUAAUAUCUUAAUAUAAAUUCACAACAUCAUAUAUCAGUCAAUCUCUGUAUAUAAAAACAGUUUAUAAAUAUAUAUAAAUAAUACAUUUUACAGUAGGUCAUAGGUCUGCAGCCUCCCCCUACUGGACGCAUGAGGAAUAACAGGGGCGUAAAACUGCUUGGGGCGUAUAUCUACUGGCUCAGUAGCUCUUCUGAUUGGCUGAAAUUCUGUAAUCUCUAAACAGUCCCGCCCACUACCUCUACAGAUGCACAAAUCACUUUUGAACCAAAUAUCUCGUGCAAAAGGGAGAGCGCGAAACUUGUCACUUGAAAGCGAAAAACAGUGUUUGAGCUUCAUCGCAGCAGAUUCAAGAAGCUGUAGUUAUGUACUUUGUGUUUGUGUUAGAAAAAUAUACAAGACAUUCUGAGAAAAUAUUCUACAAGUGUGCAACUCUCAUUUGAUGAAUUCACGUACUGAUUUGCGGAUGUUCAACAUUUCUCCACGACUUCACAUUUCUUGAUGCGGGUGUGUAAAUGCGUUUUGCACCACAUUCACUGCAGCAAUUGUUUCAAAAAUGUGAGCGUACGAGUUUCUAAAUGUGUGAUUUGUAGAAUAGGAUUUGUGCACCUGCAAUGAAGAAUUUGAGAAGGUGUAACUGUUGUGUUGUGUUUGUGGGAGAGAAAAAAAGGCUACAGGUUUGCAACUCUUAAAACAUUUCACUCUGUGACUUCAAAUUUACUGAUACACAUGUGUGGCUUUUCUCUACAACUACAAAUCGCACUGCCACAGGUGCUCAGUUAAUUUGAAUCAAAAAUACCUUCAUACAUUAGUCUUCAGUGUCACAUGAUCAUUUAGAAAUCAGUCUUAUAUGCUGAUUUGAAGAUCAAGAAAUAUUUACUAUUAUCAAUUCUAAAAACAAUAUUUUUGCCAAUUUUGUUAAAACUAGUAUUUUUUUUUUUAAAUCUUGAUAUAUACUUUUACAUACUGUAUGUGUGUGUGUGUGUGUGUGUGUGUGUGUGUGUGUAGAAUUCAGGAUUAUUUGGUAAAUAGAAAGUUCAGAACAACAUUUAUUUGAAAUAGGUUGAUGUUUUUGUAGCAACAUAAAAAUCUCUACAGUCACUUUUGAACAAUUUAAUGCAUCCCUGCUGAAUUAAGUAUUAAUUUCUAUAAAAAGUAUUAAUUCCUCUCAAAAAGAAAAGAAAAACUGGCCUCUUACAUUUGAAUGGUAGUGUAUAUAUGCAUAAACCUUUACACAUUUUAUCUAUAACGGUAAUUUAAUGGGAGGAACCAUGCUGACAAUGUAGUGUGACAACAUACACCACUGCACUUGUGUAACAACUCAACUAUGUUUUUAUACAUUAUUAAUAUAUUAUUUUAUACACUGCUAUACAGAUAAAAUAUUAGGCCUAUAUAGUAGGACAAAUUUUUAAACCAGUUUCUACAAACAAACAAUAGUUACUGCAGUUACUAUAAACCAUGAAUAAUGAAAUGGGAUCUCUCUCAAAGAGCUUUCAUAUUCUUCCUGAUAUUUUAUUUAAUUUUUUUUUUUUUUAUGGUAGUAGUCAAUAAAACCCUCAACUUCCUGGACGUUCAGCAAAAGUUUUUGUUGUUGAUGAACAAAGACAGACGACAGUCAGGUGUGCACUAUUCAUCGCAAAAGACAAAUAGCUACUGUUAAAAUCCUAA
ensembl:lncRNA